rnacentral:lncRNA from 1 species
ACCCUAUCUACAUUACUAUUAACUCCAACAACAUCAUCUACAUGUACUAAAUUCUUAUUACAAGCUAUUUUAACCCUUUUUCUUGGUACAAAAUCUAAAAAUAAAGAAUCCAUCAUAAUAAUCACACUACAAAAACACAAGUUUAGAGUAAAAUAUUAUCACAAAUUUGUCUCCUCCUUUGAUCCCAAAAUCUCACUUUACAAAGACUCCUUCACAGCCCUCUUGUUUGCAAAAUUUUGUUGAGAAUGUUGUGUACAAAAUGACCUAACUCUCCUUUUAUGUUCGAUCAAAAUGAAGCCUGUGCAUGCAGCGCUUAAAAAGCGCCGGACAAUAAAUUUUUUUUACACGUCCAUCGGUUAAAAAGCGCUGUACAGAUGACGUCCAACGAUUUUUUAGCGCUGGACGGUGUGAGUUCAUCUUCUAAUCCUGACCGUCCAGGGUGAGAUCCAACGACUACUAGAUGAUAUGUUGGAUUUUGGCUCCCCAACAUGGUCCAUGAUCAAAUCCAACGGCUACUAAAUGAUUAUGCUAGAUACUAGCUUUUCAUCAGUCAUAUGUUGGGGAUCAACACCUCUUCUUUAAAACCUUGUUUUUUUUUCAUAUAUAUUUAUAUAUUUUUUAGAAUUUAAUCAUUAGGUUUUGUUUCACCCCACCAAGCUUUAUCAAACUUAGUAAGCACCGCACUUUCCGGCCUCCCGAAGGGCUGCUCAAAGAUUGUACUUCAACAAAAAUACGAUCGAACCUCCGACAAAUUUUCUAGCGAAUUUU